CCUGACACAGGGAGGUAGUGACAAGAAAUAACAAUACAGGGCUAAUGUCUUGUAAUUGGAAUGAUGGUGACCCAAACCCUCACCAGAGUAGCAAUUGGAGGGCAAGUCUGGUGCCAGCAGCCGCGGUAAUUCCAGCUCCAAUAGCGUAUAUUAAACUUGUUGCAGUUAAAAAGCUCGUAGUUGAAUUUUAGCGUGUUCGAGUUUGCCAUUCGUUUGGCUUUUUCGAGUUCGCUUUUGGGUUUUCCCUUUUUACUUUGAGAAAAUUAGAGUGUUUCAAGCAGACUUUUGUCUUGAAUACUUCAGCAUGGAAUAAUAGAGUAGGACUUUGGUUCUAUUUUGUUGGUUAUUGAACCUUAGUAAUGGUUAAUAGGAACGGUUGGGGGCA
rnacentral:rRNA from 1 species